UAGCCUAAUGGUUAAGGCUAUGGAUCGCAAAUCCGGAGACGGCGGGUUCGAUUCCCGU
rnacentral:tRNA from 1 species